rnacentral:rRNA from 1 species
UACGUAGGGUGCAAGCGUUUGUCCGGAAUUAUUGGGCGUAAAGAGCUCGUAGGUGGUUUGUUACGUCUGCUGUGAAAACCUAGGGCUUAACCCUGGGCUUGCAGUGGAUACGGGGCAGACUAGAGGUAGGUAGGGGAGAAUGGAAUUCCUGGUGUAGCGGUGAAAUGCGCAGAUAUCAGGAGGAACACCGGUGGCGAAGGCGGUUCUCUGGGCCUUACCUGACACUGAGGAGCGAAAGCGUGGGGAGCGAACAGG